AUGUGCACUUAUUAUAUUCAAACAAAUUUUAGUAUAAAAUUGAUUUUAACAAUUUUGCUAGAAGUAGGCUGCCUAAAUUUCAAAUUUGGGUCAGUCGAUUUGCAUUGGGAACGAAGGAGGCACGCGGAGCACCAAGGAAUGAGCCGUUGCGAGCCCAAAACAGACGGUUCAAGGUGUAGGCUUGCUAGAAAAUUUUGGUGGUUCGCCAGUUUAGAGGGAUGGCCGAGCGGCGACAGUGAGGGGGGGAUGGGGUGGCAAGGCUGGUACAUGUGCGCUUGCCAGCCAAGCGGUUCAACUGGUGGAUGA
rnacentral:rRNA from 1 species